AUUGAACGCUGGCGGAAUGCUUUACACAUGCAAGUCGAACGGCAGCACGGGGGCAACCCUGGUGGCGAGUGGCGAACGGGUGAGUAAUACAUCGGAACGUGCCCAAUCGUGGGGGAUAACGUAGCGAAAGCUACGCUAAUACCGCAUACGAUCUACGGAUGAAAGCGGGGGAUCGCAAGACCUCGCGCGAAUGGAGCGGCCGAUGGCAGAUUAGGUAGUUGGUGGGGUAAAGGCUCACCAAGCCGACGAUCUGUAGCUGGUCUGAGAGGACGACCAGCCACACUGGGACUGAGACACGGCCCAGACUCCUACGGGAGGCAGCAGUGGGGAAUUUUGGACAAUGGGCGCAAGCCUGAUCCAGCCAUUCCGCAUGCAGGAUGAAGGCCCUCGGGUUGUAAACUGCUUUUGUACGGAACGAAACGGCCCUUUCUAAUACAGGGGGCUAAUGACGGUACUGUAAGAAUAAGCACCGGCUAACUACGUGCCAGCAGCCGCGGUAAU
rnacentral:rRNA from 1 species